AGCAAUGACUAAAUGUGAGGUGUCUAGUUUUUUUAAAAAAAAAUAGGUUGAAAAAUGAAUUUCUUUCCCAGAUGAGUAACAAUUUAACUCCAAGAAAGCCACUAAUUGUUAAAGAUGAUCUUUUUGAGCUUACAACUUGAUUCUUUUCCUUCUACUAACAAAGAAAUUAUAAUAUAUAACUCAGUAUGGGCAAGUUGUUCAUUAUUAGAGUUAACAUAUAUAUGUGUAGGAAUGUAUGAUAAAUGGAUAUCUACAGGACUUCAAAAGAAACUGCCUCUCCUUAGGAGACUCUAAAUUUGGAAUUUAUUAUCUAUGGAAGCUCCAUUCCUUUGCCUUUAACCUUCAGUGACUACAGCCUUAUACUACCAAAAGAUAAUUCAUGUUUUCAGUCUCAGACAAUGAAGGAGAAUAUUUAGACACAGAGACAGAGACGAUGGGAACAGAAGAGGAGUUUGCAGCACAAGGUCUUAAAGCCAGAGCCCAGACCUAGUCUGACUACUCCAGGCUGUACUGCUGCCAAAGUCGGCUUCUGCCAGGGCCAGCCCAACCGGCAUCUACACACAGGGACUCCAACACAGAAAACAGAAGGUAGGAACUGAAGCAAAAACCAAGCUGCUUGAUUUACUUCCUUUGGCUUGCUCAGACACUUUUCUUGAACAACCAGCCAACCUGCCCAGGGAUAGCACCAUUGUGGGCUGGGCUCUCCCACAUCAAUUGGCAAUCAAGAAAUGGCCCCACAGACAUUACCACAGGCCAUUCUGAUGAAGGUAAUUCCUCAGCUG